rnacentral:rRNA from 1 species
AUGGGGGGCCUUGGCAAGACCACAUUAGCGCAGCUCAUAUACAAUGAUCCUGAAAUACAGAAGCAUUUCCAGUUGCUACUCUUGGUCUGUGUCUCUGAUACCUUUGACGUGAACUCCCUGGCCAAGAGUAUAGUUGAAGCAUCUCCCAAGAAGAAUGUUGAUAUAGACAAACCACCACUGGAUAGACUUCAAAAACUGGUCAGCGGACAGCAGUAUCUCCUUGUAUUGGAUGAUGUUUGGGACAACAAAGAGUUACGUAAGUGGGAAAGGCUGAAGGUAUGUCUUCAGCAUGGUGGCAUGGGCAGUGCAGUGUUGACAACAACUCGUGAUAAACGAGUUGCUGAAAUUAUGGGUGCAGAUAGGGCAGCUUACAAUCUCAAUGCUUUGGAGGAUCACUUCAUAAAGAAAAUUAUUGAGGCUAGAGCAUUCAGCCAGGUCAAAGAAAAGCCUGCUGAACUAGUGGUGAUAGUUGAUGAGAUUGUGAAGAGAUGUUCUGGCUCUCCUUUAGCUGCAUGUGCACUGGGCUCUGUACUUCGUACCAAGACCACCGUGAAAGAAUGGAAGGCUAUAGCAUCUAGAAGCAGCAUUUGCACAGAGGAAACUGGAAUCUUGCCAAUACUCAAGCUUAGCUACAACGACUUGCCAUCGCACAUGAAGCAGUGCUUUGCUUUUUGUGCUGUAUUUCCAAAGGAUUACAAGAUUGAUGUAGCGAAGCUGAUCCAACUAUGGAUCGCAAAUGGCUUUAUCCCUGAACACAAGGAAGAUAGUCUUGAAACCAUUGGACAACUUAUUUUUGAUGAGCUUGCUUCAAGGUCAUUCUUUCUGGAUAUAGAGAGGAGUAAAGAAUGCUGGGAGUAUUAUUCCAGAACAACAUGUAAAAUCCACGAUCUUAUGCAUGAUAUUGCAAUGUCUGUUAUGGGAAAGGAAUGUGUUGCUGUGACUAUGGAGCUAAGUAAAAUUGAGUGGCUUGGAGAUACUGCUCGGCAUUUGUUUUUAUCAUGUAAAGGAACAGAAGGUAUUUUGAAUGCUUCUUUGGAGAAAAGAUCCCCUGCCAUUCAAACACUCAUAUGUGAUAGUCCUAUGCAAAGUUCAUUGAAGCAUCUAUCAAAAUAUAACUCUUUGCACGCCUUGAAGCUCUGUAUUAGAGGCACAGAAUCAUUUCUUCUGAAAUCAAUGUAUCUGCAUCACCUGAGGUACCUUGAUCUCUCAAACAGUUCUAUCAAAUCACUUCCUGAAGAUAUAAGUAUUCUAUAUAACCUUCAAACGUUGGACUUUUCCAACUGCCGUUAUCUUGAUCGACUUCCGAAGCAAAUGAAGUAUAUGACUUCCCUCUGCCAUCUCUACACUCAUGGAUGUCCGAAGUUGAAGAGCAUGCCUCCAGGACUUGAAAAUCUCACUAAGCUGCAGACACUCACAGUUUUUGUAGAAGGAGUUCCUGGCCCUGAUUGCAGUGAUGUUAUAGCGCUGCAGCAUUUAAACCUUGGUGGUCAUCUAGAGCUACGCCAGGUAGAGAAUGUUCAAGAAGCAGAGGCAAAAGUGGCGAAUCUUGGAAACAAGAAGGAUCUCCGUGAACUGACAUUAAGAUGGACUGAGGUUGGCGACAGCAAGGUGCUCGACAAGUUCGAACCUCAUGGUGGGCUGCAGGUUCUGAAGAUAUAUUCCUAUGGAGGAGAGUGCAUGGGUAUGUUGCAAAACAUGGUUGAGAUCCAUCUUUUCCAUUGUGAAAGAUUGCGAUGUUUGUUUAGAUGCAGUACAAUCUUCACUUUUCCAAAACUGAAGGUGCUUAUGCUAGACCAUCUGUUGGGUUUUGAGGGAUGGUGGGAAAUAGAUGAGAGGCAAGAAGAACAUGCAAUAUUUCCUGUGCUUGAGAAGUUGUUUAUGAGCAAUUGUGGAAAGUUGGUAGCAUUACCCGAAGCAGCAUUGCUGCAAGGACCUUGUGGUGAAGGCGGUUAUACAUUUGUACGCUCAGCGUUUCCUGCCCUGAAGGUGCUCAAAAUGAAAAACUUGGAGAGCUUUCAGAUGUGGGAUGCAGUCAAAGAGACUCAAGGUGAAUAG